UGCAGUCGAGGGGCAGCACGAUGUAGCAAUACAUUGGUGGCGACCGGCGCACGGGUGCGUAACACGUAUGCAACCUACCAAUAAGCGGGGAAUAACCCGGAGAAAUCCGGACUAAUACCGCAUAGUACGUUUGGGUGGCAUCACUUAAACUUUAAAGAUUUAUCACUUAUGGAUGGGCAUGCGCAUGAUUAGAUAGUAGGCGGGGUAACGGCCCACCUAGUCAACGAUCAUUAGGGGUUCUGAGAGGAAGGUCCCCCACAUUGGUACUGAGACACGGACCAAACUCCUACGGGAGGCAGCAGUGAGGAAUAUUGGUCAAUGGGCGAGAGCCUGAACCAGCCAAGUCGCGUGAAGGAAGAAGGAUCUAUGGUUCGUAAACUUCUUUUUUAGGGGAAUAAAGUGCGGUACGUGUACCGUUUUGUAUGUACCCUACGAAUAAGGAUCGGCUAACUCCGUGCCAGCAGCCGCGGUAAUACGGAGGAUCCGAGCGUUAUCCGGAUUUAUUGGGUUUAAAGGGUGCGUAGGCGGAAGAAUAAGUCAGUGGUGAAAGUUUGCAGCUCAACUGUAAAAUUGCCGUUGAAACUGUUUUUCUUGAGUGUAAAUGAGGUAGGCGGAAUGUGUUGUGUAGCGGUGAAAUGCUUAGAUAUGACACAGAACACCGAUUGCGAAGGCAGCUUACUAAGAUACAACUGACGCUGAGGCACGAAAGCGUGGGGAUCGAACAGGAUUAGAUACCCUGGUAGUCCACGCAGUAAACGAUGAUUACUAGCUGUUUGCGAUAUACUGUAAGUGGCUAAGCGAAAGCGAUAAGUAAUCCACCUGGGGGAGUACGUUCCCAAGAAUGAAACUCAAAGGAAUUGACGGGGGCCCGCACAAGCGGAGGAACAUGUGGUUUAAUUCGAUGAUACGCGAGAACCUUACCCCGGGCUUGAAUGCAAAGAAUAACUUGGAAACAGGUUAUCACAAUGACCUCUGUGUAGUGCUGCAU
rnacentral:rRNA from 1 species